rnacentral:rRNA from 1 species
UACGAGUGGUGCAAGCGUUAUUCGGAAUCACUGGGCGUAAAGGGUGUGUAGGCGACAUUUCAAGUCCAUUGUUAAAUAUCCCAGCUUAACUGGGAAGGUGCAAUGGAAACUGAUCUGUUAGAGGGUGGAAGAGAGAAGUGGAAUUCUCGGAGUAGCGGUAAAAUGCGUAGAUAUCGAGAGGAACACCGAUGGCGAAGGCAGCUUCUUAGUCCAUACCUGACGCUGAUACACGAAAGCGUGGGGAGCAAACAGG